CGUUUAUUUGAUAGUACCCUACUACAUGGAUACCUGUGGUAAUUCUAGAGCUAAUACAUGCGCAAAACCCCGACUUCGGAAGGGGUGUAUUUAUUAGAUAAAAAACCAAUGCCCUUCGGGGCUCCUUGGUGAUUCAUAAUAACUUCACGAAUCGCAUGGCCUUGCGCCGGCGAUGGUUCAUUCAAAUUUCUGCCCUAUCAACUUUCGAUGGUAGGAUAGUGGCCUACCAUGGUGGCAACGGGUAACGGGGAAUUAGGGUUCGAUUCCGGAGAGGGAGCCUGAGAAACGGCUACCACAUCCAAGGAAGGCAGCAGGCGCGCAAAUUACCCAAUCCCGAUACGGGGAGGUAGUGACAAUAAAUACUGAUACAGGGCUCUUUUGGGUCUUGUAAUUGGAAUGAGAACAAUCUAAAUCCCUUAACGAGGAACAAUUGGAGGGCAAGUCUGGUGCCAGCAGCCGCGGUAAUUCCAGCUCCAAUAGCGUAUAUUAAAGUUGUUGCAGUUAAAAAGCUCGUAGUUGAACCUUGGGCCCGUCCUGCCGGUCCGCCUCACCGCGAGUACUGGUCCGGAUGGGCCUUUCUUUCUGGGGAAUCCCAUGGCCUUCACUGGCUGUGGCGGGGAACCAGGACUUUUACUGUGAAAAAAUUAGAGUGUUCAA
rnacentral:rRNA from 1 species